UAGGGAAUCUUCCGCAAUGGACGAAAGUCUGACGGAGCAACGCCGCGUGAGCGAUGAAGGCCUUCGGGUCGUAAAGCUCUGUUGUUAGGGAAGAACAAGUACCGUUCGAAUAGGGCGGUACCUUGACGGUACCUAACCAGAAAGCCACGGCUAACUACGUGCCAGCAGCCGCGGUAAUACGUAGGUGGCAAGCGUUGUCCGGAAUUAUUGGGCGUAAAGCGCGCGCAGGCGGUUCCUUAAGUCUGAUGUGAAAGCCCACGGCUCAACCGUGGAGGGUCAUUGGAAACUGGGGAACUUGAGUGCAGAAGAGGAAAGCGGAAUUCCACGUGUAGCGGUGAAAUGCGUAGAGAUGUGGAGGAACACCAGUGGCGAAGGCGGCUUUCUGGUCUGUAACUGACGCUGAGGCGCGAAAGCGUGGGGAGCAAACAGGAUUAGAUACCCUGGUAGUCCACGCCGUAAACGAUGAGUGCUAAGUGUUAGGGGGUUUCCGCCCCUUAGUGCUGCAGCUAACG
rnacentral:rRNA from 1 species